rnacentral:rRNA from 1 species
AUGCACGCUGGCGGCGUGCUUAACACAUGCAAGUCGAACGGGAAACCUUUUAAUGAAGCUUCGGCAGAUUUAGCUGGUUUCUAGUGGCGGACGGGUGAGUAACGCGUGGGUAACCUGCCUUAUACAGGGGGAUAACAGUCAGAAAUGACUGCUAAUACCGCAUAAGCGCACAGGACCGCAUGGUCCGGUGUGAAAAACUCCGGUGGUAUAAGAUGGACCCGCGUUGGAUUAGCUUGUUGGUGGGGUAACGGCUCACCAAGGCGACGAUCCAUAGCCGGCCUGAGAGGGUGAACGGCCACAUUGGGACUGAGACACGGCCCAGACUCCUACGGGAGGCAGCAGUGGGGAAUAUUGCACAAUGGGGGAAACCCUGAUGCAGCGACGCCGCGUGAAGGAAGAAGUAUCUCGGUAUGUAAACUUCUAUCAGCAGGGAAGAUAGUGACGGUACCUGACUAAGAAGCCCCGGCUAACUACGUG